rnacentral:rRNA from 1 species
UGGGGAAUCUUGGACAAUGGGCGCAAGCCUGAUCCAGCCAUGCCGCGUGGAUGAUGAAGGCCUUAGGGUUGUAAAAUCCUUUCGUUGGGGACGAUAAUGACGGUACCCAAAGAAGAAGCUCCGGCUAACUUCGUGCCAGCAGCCGCGGUAAUACGAAGGGGGCUAGCGUUGUUCGGAUUUACUGGGCGUAAAGCGCGUGUAGGCGGACUUGUAAGUUGGGGGUGAAAUCCCGAGGCUCAACCUCGGAACUGCCUCCAAAACUACAAAUCUGGACCUAAGUAGAGGCAAGUGGAAUUGCGAGUGUAGAGGUGAAAUUCGUAGAUAUUCGCAGGAACACCAGUGGCGAAGGCGACUUGCUGGACUUAUGGUGACGCUGAGACGCGAAAGCGUGGGGAGCAAACAGGAUUAGAUACCCAAGUAGUCCCUGAGCGGGCUGGCAAGGCGCAU